UUGGUUUGGUUUGGUUGGGCUUAGGCACCGAAAGUACUUGGUUAUGGUUAGGAAAACAUCGUCGUUUGGGUGUAGUCACAGAAUCUUCUAGGUCACAGAUUUUGGUGUUACACCGUCAUUGACCAGGUUAGAGGGGCGAGUUGUCAGGCUGCAGCAGGUGACGUGACUGCUGAUUUUAUCUGUAGAAAGUCAGUGAAUAUGUUUACAUCUUCGGUGAAAGUAGAGAUGUGCUACCUGGUUGAGGAGGUAACUCGAUAUACAGAAGCCAAAUACGAGAGGACCGGGAAACUCUCCUUGAGGAGUAACGUUAGCUGGAGGCCUCCCUCUCCCGUCCGCCAUUUUGGACCGCCAUUCCCCACAUCUUUCCAUCGCUCGUGGACAGGCCCUUGACUGUACUGCUCAGGAAGUUAAAUGCCGAUGCCCAUCGUAUAAUUGCACGACUUAUAACAACGGCGUAUUGCGUAACUAAGACGGACCAGCUAUUGAACUUCAGCUGAAGAAUGGUGUGGACCUGGGAAGUCAGUAUCAUACAGAUGUGGCGUGUCGCAGGCAAGUAAUGUUACCUAGCUACGUCUAUUUUUUAGUAUGGUCAGAUAAUGGUUGAAAAUGUUUAGCUAGUUUUGCUAGAUGUUAUGUUAUAGUGGACAUUUUCUCUGUGUGUAAUAUACAUCCGAAAGUCCCAAUCUUUCAACUAUCUUCACCACUGUUUGUUUUGAUAGUGAAUGUUAUGCCAUUCUAAAACUGUUAAAUCAUUAGCUAAGUUAUAAGGUUUUACAGUUCUAAUGUUUUAUGUUUUCUUUUGCGAUUUAAUGGUGGAGGUAGCUGAUAAAGGCUGAACGAAUUUAGAUUUUUUUUUAUUAUAGGUUUGCUAUGGUUAUCUUCCAAGACCUCUGGGAGCCCUUCUUGGAGGACCUGAGGAGAGCAAAAUUCAGUGUGUUGGCAGAUACUGCCACUGAUUCAAGUGUCCAUGACCUCGACUCGGGGAGUCGGGUUCUCGGGUCUAUGUUCGCAUGCUUAAGGACGGGAGCCCUAAGAAUAUUUUCUUGGCUCUUGAGGAGCUGCACCAUGUGACCUAAGUUGGUCACUGUGAAGCUUUGAAUGCAGGUAAGUUAAGCACUCAGUGAAGUCCUCCAUAAGAAG